rnacentral:rRNA from 1 species
GGUGAGUAAUGCCUAGGAAAUUGCCUUGNNNUGNNGGANAACCAUUGGAAACGAUGGCUAAUACCGCAUAAUGCCUACGGGCCAAAGAGGGGGACCUUCGGGCCUCUCGCGUCAAGAUNUGCCUAGGUGGGAUUAGCUAGUUGGUGAGGUAAUGGCUCACCAAGGCGACGAUCCCUAGCUGGUCUGAGAGGAUGAUCAGCCACACUGGAACUGAGACACGGUCCAGACUCCUACGGGAGGCNNCAGUGGGGAAUAUUGCACAAUGGGCGCAAGCCUGAUGCAGCCAUGCCGCGUGUANGAAGAAGGCCUUCGGGUUGNANNGUACUUUCAGUCGUG